rnacentral:RNase_P_RNA from 2 species
GGCAGGAGAAGCUAGGGCCACAUGCUGAGUCCUUGUCACUCCCCAACCAUUGGGAACGUACUGGGCCCUCCCCAGCAGGGAGAUGAGUUCUUAGAAUGGGCCAGACCUGGCAGGAGAGGCCCUGAGUGGGUGGAUGCCUUGUGGGAGCUUGGAAUAGACUCAUGGCCGGGGCAGGCAGUAUUAGCAUGUAGGAGAAGCUCUGUGGCU